GCCAUAAUAGUUUAGUGGUUAGAAUACGUCGUUGUGGAUCGUGGCAAUCCGACGUGACCCAUGUUCGAUUCAUGGUUAUGGCA
rnacentral:tRNA from 1 species